GGUAACUGCUUGCCAUAUAGACUAAAAAAACUCAUAUAAAGUGUGUUAUCUGUCAGCUUCUUCUUUCGGAAUUUAUGAGACCGCAGUCAACUACAACACUAUAUGU